rfam:Ixodes scapularis strain Wikel colony gcontig_1108378486046, whole genome shotgun sequence.
CCCUUGUUAGCUCAAUUGGUAGAGCGCUCCACCUGUAAUGGAGAGGUCCCGGGUUCGAUACCCGGACCAGGCG